UAGUGUGUUCAGAGGGACUGUGCCAUUUUGCAGUCCCUCCAGCAACAAAUGAGAGUUCCUGUUACUCCAUAUCCUCAACAGCAUUUAGUGUUCUAGACCUUGGCCACUGUAAGAAGUGUGCAGUGUUAUCUCAUUGUUGUUUCAGUGUGCAUUUCCCUGCUAAUACAUUUUGAGUUAUAUUUUGAAUGAUGAAAGAAAGGUGACCCCAACUCCUCUGCUGCACCAGAGGACACUUUCUGUAUCUCCAAGAAUUUUAAGAAGGUUUUCUGCCUGCUCAGUGGGAAUAGCAGAGGUGAGUUAGGAAAAGUUUUUGGAGAAUGUUCCCAAUUUAAAAGGAAAAGGGAGACUAAAGAACUUUAUUCAAGGGGAAAUGGGGGUCAGAGACCCUUCUGAUUAUCAUAAUAUAACAAGAGGUGAGUGCAGAGAUGGAAAGUGCAGGAGAGGAAUGUGACUGCCUGGUGUGGAUUUCCAGCUCUCCUGCUCUCUAGUGUUUGACCUCGGACAAGUAACUUCACAUCUUUGGGUCUUGCUUUCACUCUUUGUAGAACAUCUUAAGGGGCCCUUGGGGACAUUGAGUGAAAUGAUAUAUACUAUGAAUUUAGAACAAUGCCUGGCAGGCUGUAAAGGUUGCAUAAGCAUUUAUCUUCAUCUUCCUCCUCAUUACCAUCUCCCAGCAUGUGGCACUAUUUGGGAGGUACUGCAGCCUUUAGGAACUGGAGCUCAGUGGAAGGAAAUUAGGUCACUUGGGGAAUGGCCUGGAAGGGGAUGCUGGGAUUCUUAUACCUUCCUCUCUCUCUUCACUUCCCAUCUACCAUGAGGCAAGCUGACCUUCUUUGCCAUGUACUCCUACCAUGAUGUUCUGUGCUGCCACAGGCACAAAGCAACAGGGCCAACCAACCAUGGACUGAAACCUCUGAAACUGACUACAAGAACUGUGUGAAUCAAGGGAAGAUGGAAUCUUGUUUUUAUUUGAACUGAGAGUUGUUCAUCAUCUAUGAGUCACUUCACCAAUGGAAAAGGUCUCCUGGUGUUUGAACCUCCAUCAUGGUAUCCCGGGAGCAAUCUGCCUGAGAGCCUAUUGCAUGUACGGUGAUUUUACGAUGAAUUCACACCAUGACAUCACCAGGAAGUGUUCUCUGUGAUCACCAAGUGCGGCCCUGUGCUUGCCUCUGUCCAUGUUUAUUUAUGUGGCUGAGCUCAGCACCAGGCGAACAGCAGGCCUGGUGGAGGAGGAACGUCUCUGUCGAAGACGCGCUGCAGAUGCUGUGACUUGAAAGAUUCCCUUUGAUUCUUUCUUUGACUCAACAUAGUCGAGAAAGAAGGUGUUGGGGAAAACAAUAACUUGAAGAACAUGUUAGAGUUAAUCCUUAACUUGAGACCAUUAAAGCC